rnacentral:rRNA from 1 species
UACGGGGGGAGCAAGCGUUGUUCGGAUUUACUGGGCGUAAAGAGCGUGUAGGCGGCCAGAUAAGUCCGCUGUGAAAUCUCGAGGCUCAACUUCGAGCUGUCGGUGGAAACUAUCUGGCUAGAGUCCGGAAGAGGAGAAUGGAAUUCCUGGUGUAGCGGUGAAAUGCGCAGAUAUCAGGAAGAACACCCGUGGCGAAGGCGGUUCUCUGGGACGGUACUGACGCUGGAGACGCGAAAGCGUGGGGAGCGAACAGG